rnacentral:rRNA from 1 species
AUACGGAGGGUGCAAGCGUUGUUCGGAAUCACUGGGCGUAAAGGGCGCGCAGGCGGUUUGGUAAGUCAGAUGUGAAAGCCCAUGGCUCAACCAUGGAAGUGCAUUUGAAACUGUCAGACUUGAGUACUAGAGGGGAAUGUGGAAUUCCCGGUGUAGAGGUGAAAUUCGUAGAUAUCGGGAGGAAUACCGGUGGCGAAGGCGACUUUCUGGCUAGAUACUGACGCUGAGGCGCGAAAGCGUGGGGAGCAAACAGGAUUAGAAACCCCUGUAGUCC